GGCAAGAUGGCCGAGUUGGUCUAAGGCGUCAGGUUAAGGUCACCUUAACACCCAGCUUAUCAAGCUUCCUGAUCAUCGUAAGAUGGCGUGGGUUCGAAUCCCACUCUUGUCA